UUAUUUUUGCGAAAGAACAUCCAGAAUAUACAGCAAGUUUAAAUACUUUACGUCGAGUAUUAAAAUCCAUGGGAUUCAGAUUUAAGAAAGUUAACAACAGAAAAAUAAUUGCUUUUUGGUUAUUUGGUCUAUGUGUUCCCAAUGUUUCUAACCACUCCUGUAACACCUCUGAAUUUUGUGAAGUUACAUUUUGUUCAUUAUUACCACUAAAAUCCUCAGGGCGGAGGAGCAUAGCCAGACCUAUCGCCUUCAACCAAAUUCCUUGUACAUUUUGUAAAUAAUAAGUAGUACCAAAUAUUAGAGUUAUUAAACAUAACAUUAAAGACUU